rnacentral:rRNA from 1 species
GACGAACGCUGGCGGCGUGCCUAAUACAUGCAAGUAGAACGCUGAAGGAGGAGCUUACUUCUCUGGAUGAGUUGCGAACGGGUGAGUAACGCGUAGGUAACCUGCCUGGUAGCGGGGGAUAACUAUUGGAAACGAUAGCUAAUACCGCAUAAGAGUAGAUGUUGCGUGACAUUUACCUAAAAGGUGCAAUUGCACCACUACCAGAUGGACCUGCGUUGUAUUAGCUAGUUGGUGGGGUAACGGCUUACCAAGGCGACGAUACAUAGCCGACCUGGGAGGGUGAUCGGCCACACUGGGACUGGGACACGGCCCAGACUCCUACGGGAGGCAGCAGUAGGGAAUCUUCGGCAAUGGACGGAAGUCUGACCGAGCAACGCCGCGUGAGUGAAGAAGGUUUUCGGAUCGUAAAGCUCUGUUGUAAGAGAAGAACGAGUGUGAGAGUGGAAAGUUCACACUGUGACGGUAUCUUACCAGAAAGGGACGGCUAACUACGUGCCAGCCGCCGCCGUAA